ACGGUAAGUGUUGUAGCAAUAUAACACCAAGAGUGACGUACGGGUGCGUAACACGUAUGCAACCUACCCUUUACAGGAGGAUAGCUCGGGGAAACUCGAAUUAACCCUCCAUAAUAUCAUUGGAUGGCAUCAUCUGAUGAUUAAAACUCCGGUGGUAAAGGAUGGGCAUGCGACUGAUUAGUUAGUUGGCGGGGUAACGGCCCACCAAGACGAUGAUCAGUAGGGGACCUGAGAGGGUGAUCCCCCACACUGGCACUGAGAUACGGGCCAGACUCCUACGGGAGGCAGCAGUAGGGAAUAUUGGUCAAUGGAUGCAAGUCUGAACCAGCCAUGCCGCGUGCAGGAAGAAGGCCUUCUGGGUUGUAAACUGCUUUUGCCAGGGGAUAAAAAUCUCAUGCGUGAGAAAUUGAAGGUACCUGGUGAAUAAGCCACGGCUAACUACGUGCCAGCAGCCGCGGUAAUACGUAGGUGGCAAGCGUUGUCCGGAUUUAUUGGGUUUAAAGGGUGCGUAGGCGGCCUUGUAAGUCAGUGGUGAAAUACUCCAGCUUAACUGGAGGGGUGCCAUUGAUACUGCAGGGCUUGAGUACAGAUGAGGUAGGCGGAAUUGACGGUGUAGCGGUGAAAUGCAUAGAUAUCGUCAAGAACUCCGAUAGCGAAGGCAGCUUACUAAGCUGUAACUGACGCUGAGGCACGAAAGUGUGGGGAUCAAACAGGAUUAGAUACCCUGGUAGUCCACACUGUAAACGUUGAUGACUCGAUGUUGGCGAUACACAGCCAGCGUCCAAGAGCAAUCGUUAAGUC
rnacentral:rRNA from 1 species